AUUGAACGCUGGCGGCAUGCUUUACACAUGCAAGUCGAACGGCAGCGCGGGCUUCGGCCUGGCGGCGAGUGGCGAACGGGUGAGUAAUGCAUCGGAACGUGCCCAGUAGUGGGGGAUAGCCCGGCGAAAGCCGGAUUAAUACCGCAUACGACCUGAGGGUGAAAGCGGGGGACCGAAAGGCCUCGCGCUAUUGGAGCGGCCGAUGUCGGAUUAGCUAGUUGGUGGGGUAAAGGCUUACCAAGGCGACGAUCCGUAGCUGGUCUGAGGGGACGACCAGCCACACUGGGACUGAGACACGGCCCAGACUCCUACGGGAGGCAGCAGUGGGGAAUUUUGGACAAAGGGGGCAACCCUGAUCCAGCCAUGCCGCGUGCGGGAAGAAGGCCUUCGGGUUGUAAACCGCUUUUGUUCGGGAAGAAAUCCUCUGGGCUAAUACCCCGGGGGGAUGACGGUACCGGAAGAAUAAGCACCGGCUAACUACGUG
rnacentral:rRNA from 1 species